GUCGCCAGGCACCGGCCACGGCGCACGCCAACAUCCAGGAUAAUUCUCCUUUCCAAGCCCGGGAGUUCCGGGGCAGGCGAAAAAGGGGGGAUGGGAGACCCACAGUCCCUUUAACCCUCCCCCCUGGCCUGCCAACCUUUUCCGAACCCCCAUGUCACACAACUUCCUCAUCAUGGAAACUUCCACUGGGUUCGGCGCUGAGGAUGCCAAACUCCAUUUCACAAGGAACAUGUCAACAGCUGGGCUUGGGGUUUGAGGAACAGAGCCGCUGCGAUUGGAACAGAGCCCGGCCACCCUGUUCCACCACUGUCCACUCCGUAGCUCCCAGCCUGCCGCCGCGCGGUGCCCGAACACGAGAGGGCACCUCCUCCCAGAUCCGGGGCGCAGAAGCCCCGCGGAGGCAGGGAAGUUCCUGGGCUUUGCUCCAAAGCUGCCCCGGAAUGUUUUGGUUGGUUUGGAGAAAAGCUGUGGCGUCUACACCACUUGUUCCAAGCAGGCGGCCCCCUGGUGGCUAACGGGGGGUGAGAAAGCUGGCCACUGAGGAAGAAGUCUGGCGCAGGUAGGCCCCAACAGUUGACAACCUAGUCUUCGGGUCUUCUUCACAGCGUGUGAACAGCUUAGUAUUACCGCGGGGGGGCGGGAGGGGGUUGGGGGGUGGUGAGGUGAAGCAAAUCUUCCUUCAACACGGUGGAUCAUGGGCUUCUCGGCCUACUGGAACUUUUAAUUUUUUUCUCUUCCUGAGUAUAACUUGGAGCUAAAUUAUUUAAGAAGGAGACAUACAGAGGACAAAAUGAAAUGUAACAAAAACUGUUGCUUCUCUUUGUUCAAGGGCUUUGUCUUUCUGAUCUCAUUUUGCCCAGAAAAUUCAGAAAUGAGCCAAUUAAAGCAUGAAAUAAAUAAAGGGCGUGGCAUUAUUCAAACAACUCAUCAUGCUACCUGCAUGCAACACAAGGAGUUAUUGGAUAGGCACAUGAGGCUGGAAAAGGUAGAAGAUUCUGAGGCCCUGGGCGGGAACUAGUAAGCCACAAUCUGGAAGAGUCUUUUACCACCAUGUGGAGGAGAACUAGAGCACUCAUGUUGAACUAUUACCGAGAAAAGUAAUCAACUUCUUUUGUGUUAAGUCACUGAAAGGCAAGUGUUGAUUUGUUGCAGUAAUUGGUGCUCCCUUAACACACCUGUCAGCCGGGCCAAACUCUAUCACAGCAUAAAUAAUCUUUUCCUUAAAUAAAUACAGGUAAAAGAAUAAAGUAGACCUAAAUGCAUUAAUAUGAAUAUAGGCUCAAAGCAAAAUGUUGGGCUAUAAAUGUUCAGAGUGAUAAUUUUUUAAGUUGAUGUGUAAUUUAGUACAGUAAAAUAGAUAAAACCUAAAUGUUCAGUUCAAUGAAUUUUUACAUGUUCAUGCCCCUGUAUAAUCACCUCCCAGAACAACAUAGAAAAUACUUCAUAUAAAUGGAAUCAUACAGUGU
rnacentral:lncRNA from 1 species